CACGGAGUUAGCCGAUCCUUAUUCGUACAGUACAUUCAGAUAGUUAGCUCGUAACUAUAGUUAUUCCCGUAUAAAAGCAGUUUACAACCCUGAGGGCAGUCGUCCUGCACGCGGCAUGGCUGGUUCAGAGUUCCCUCCAUUGACCAAUAUCCCUUACUGCUGCCUCCCGUAGGAGUCUGGCCCGUGUCUCAGUGCCAGUGUGGGGGUUUCUCCUCUCAGAGCCCCUAGACAUCAUAGCCUCGGUAGGCCGUUACCCGUACCGACCAGCUAAUGUCACGCGAGCCCAUCUGUAUCCUAUGAAUAUUUAAUAUGAUAACGAUGCCGAAAUCAUAUCACAUACGGGGUUAAUCCGACUUUCGCCGGGCUAUACCGUAGAUAAAGGUAGGUUGCUCACGCGUUACGCACCAUCCGCCACUCUCACCACCUCCAGCAAGCUGGAAAUGGACUCCGUUCGACUUGCAUGUAUUAGGCCUGCCGCUAGCGUUCACU
rnacentral:rRNA from 1 species